rnacentral:piRNA from 1 species
UCCUCUUUCCAUGUAUGGCACACCACGG